CAGACCUCCCGGUGCCUGAUUGGCCAGAGCUGCAGCAUUUGGCCACUGCCAGCUGAAGGAGAGGCCAGGAAGUGAGCCUCGGAGCCCCUCCAGCCUCGAGGACAGGGGCGAGAAGGGAACAAAACAAUUGCAAGGACUAGUGAUGGGAAAAUGCUAAGAUUUCAGAUCCUCAAAGGCAAUGCCGGAUCACAUCGUCUACUCUGAAUGCAUCGUCUUACACGUGAGAGAGGACCUGGCUCGUGGGUAGAGUGAGUGGCUUAUCCGCCCAGUCCUAUAGCGGGGGAGAGCUGGGGUUUGAACCAAGCCUUCCAGCUUUAGGAGAUCUUGCCCCUCUCUCCAUAAUCACUCUCAGGCUGCAGAAGAAUGCCUGGCCCGGAAAGCUGUUUAAAAACCAGAAAGGAAAGAAAAGAGAAAAGCUCCUGCAUCACCAAGGAAUCCCUGGGCAACAUUCUGGAAUUGAUCUACACUGGUUCAAAUUUCACGCAUCCCCCCAUCUUCCACGCUGACUCUCCCACCCUUCUUUUGAUCGAGUUGUAACUUGGAGAAAAUGCCCCGUCCAGGGCACGCAACUGGGCAUAAUUGCAUAGAGGAAAACAAGCUGGCCAUGAGUUUCCAGGCAAGGACUUGUCAAGUGAACAUUCCUCCCGGAGAAGUAACUGGCCACGGAGCGAAGAAGCGUGGGAACAGAGGCCCAACUUUCUCGUCUGUGUGAGAGGGAUGACAGUCCCCACGCCACACGCCUUCCGAUGAAGUUGGUCUGAGGAAGGAG
rnacentral:lncRNA from 12 species